ACGAACCGUGCGAACGUUGUUCGGAAUCACUGGGCUUAAAGGGCGCGUAGGCGGCUUGCCAAGUCAGGGGUGAAAUCCUGCAGCUCAACUGUAGAAGUGCCUUUGGUACUGGCGAGCUCGAGGGAGGUAGGGGUGCGCGGAACUUCUGGUGGAGCGGUGAAAUGCGUUGAUAUCAGAAGGAACGCCGGUGGCGAAAGCGGCGCACUGGAUCUCUACUGACGCUGAGGCGCGAAAGCCAGGGGAGCAAACGGGA
rnacentral:rRNA from 1 species